rnacentral:rRNA from 1 species
GAUGAACGCUGGCGGCGUGCCUAAUACAUGCAAGUCGAGCGAACAGACGAGGAGCUUGCUCCUCUGACGUUAGCGGCGGACGGGUGAGUAACACGUGGAUAACCUACCUAUAAGACUGGGAUAACUUCGGGAAACCGGAGCUAAUACCGGAUAAUAUAUUGAACCGCAUGGUUCAAUAGUGAAAGACGGUUUUGCUGUCACUUAUAGAUGGAUCCGCGCCGCAUUAGCUAGUUGGUAAGGUAACGGCUUACCAAGGCGACGAUGCGUAGCCGACCUGAGAGGGUGAUCGGCCACACUGGAACUGAGACACGGUCCAGACUCCUACGGGAGGCAGCAGUCGGGAAUCUUCCGCAAUGGUCGAAAGCCUGACGGAGCAACGCCGCGUGAGUGAUGAAGGUCUUCGGAUCGUAAAACUCUGUAAUUAGGGAAGAACAAAUGUGUAAGUAACUAUGCACGUCUUGACGGUACCUAAUCAGAAAGCCACGGCUAACUACGUG